UUUGUAGACGGUGGAGGACAGGCCUUUGGAGGUCUCACAUUUCGGACUACUUCUCUCCUUCACUCUACGGUCUUAGCUCUUUCCAUUUCAUCCUUCAUUUCAAUCCCGGGAUCAUUGAGGGGGGUCGUCUGGGUUUCCAGAGUGGUCUGGAGAUGCAGAAGACUAACAGGAAGAAGCGAGCUCAGGGGACCAGCGCUAACCUCCCAAAAGCAGCUCAUCACCUCGCUGUGCUCACAGACAGUAAUUCGCACCUUGGUCCUACCCUUCGACUGGAGCCCAGUGCAUCAGUCUCCGUCGCCGACAGCACCAGAGGGACCCAUUUCAUAUUUGGACCUGUGGCUGGUGUUGCUGCAGUGAUAGCCCUCCGAUUGGCUCAGAUUGAGACUCAGGCACAGAUUGCUCUCCAGCAGCUUGCCACUCUAGCGACCAUAACUGUUGACAACAACAACGGGUUUGCAGCAGCGUUACCUCAUCACCUGGCCCUCCUGAGUCUUCUCAAUAGACAGCCGGUGUCAGCUGUUGGUUUUAACGUGGACACAAACAGAAAAACUCACAGAAACAUACAACCGUGUCUCUCUGCUGCCAUGUACCACCACCACUCCCAGCAACAGGGGUCACAGCCCUUUUCUAAUGGGCCCAGACCUCCUCAUCAUCAGUCACCUCCAAAUCAACAUCAGAACCGUCCUCCUUCUGACAUGCUGUCGCAGGUGAUGGGUUUCCAGUUUCCUCGUCCCACCCAGCUCCCUGAUGAACUAGAGUCUGCCUUGGCCAUCCGUGGUGCCAGGGACAUGGACCACCGCCUCAUUGACCACAUGAGCCGACCAAACCAACACCAGAACCAGAGUUCAGGUUCUGGGAUGAGUCAACACGGAAGCUACGGCUCUAACCCAAUAACCCACACCUCUGAUAAUCAGCCUGGCCACCAGCAAGGAGUAGACUGGUCAAGCUACCAGCCUCCGACUAAACUGUUUGCCAGUCCUCCACCUAGUGGCAGUCACCAGUCGCAACGACAUCAGGGGCCUCAACAGCAGUCCCAGAGCACCCACGCUGGAACAAGCAUGCCAAGCUGGAGCGCUCCUGUAAGUGACUCACCAUCGUCUCAAGCCCAGCACCCCCACGGUGGUGGCGGGGAUGGUCAGGGUUUAUACACACCUGAGAGCGCUGGAAGUAUCUUGGCAAGCUUUGGACUUUCAAAUGAGGACUUAGAAGUGCUGAGUCACUACCCUGAUGAUCAGCUAACCCCAGAUACUUUACCAUUCAUCCUCCGUGACAUCCAAAUCAACAAGUCAGGUAGCCAGAAAACUGCGGCCUCCACUUCCUCAUCAUCGUUCUCACGCACCAUCCAUGAUAUGUCGCUGCCUCCUUCCCGCUCUUCGCCUUUGACACGUUCACACUCCCCGGAAGUGCCCAGCCUUCUUACUGUUACGCAGACAGCAGGUAAAGUCAUUGACUAUGGUCAUGCCAGCCGGGCAAAGGAUGACAGUAGCACCAGAGAGACUUUCAAAAGAGAGCAGCUCUCCAGUGAAAGGACAGUUAAAAUGUACUCGUCUCCGUCGUUGUCCUCAUCAGCUCCAAAAGCAGAUAAAGCUGAAAGGCAGCAGGGCCGUUUGGAACACGCUGAAUCGAGCAAGCACGGGGACCAAGACUAUCGCAGGACAAGCCGCGACCAUCGCAAGAGCAAUCGGUCACCUGGCAGAGAAUUUCCGCAAUCAUCCAAAUCUCGUAAUCUAGACCAAGACUACAGGCGUGACGGACCCAAACCUAGGCCCUCAUCUGAAACCAGGAGUGAGGCUUCCUCGAGACGGUCUCUCUCCUCUUCGUCUGGCUCAAAACCACACAGCAGCAGCAAGAAGUUACCUACCCCCACCAUGAUAAGCGAUUUCUCAUCUGUAUCUCCAAAGGUGUAUCCCCAUACCUGCUCCUUGUGCCACAUACAGUGUGAUCAGGAAAAGGACUGGGUUGAGCAUAUUAACACCGUCAACCACACUGCUGCCUGCAGAGACCUGCGCAACAAGUACCCUGAGUGGAAACCAAAUCUACCGAGUCGCAGUGGAAGAUAUGGCAGCCGGGCUCUGUGGGAUCCCAAAGAUCACUCUCUAUCCCAUUCCGCAUCCCAAUCCCCCUCUCGCUCUCUUACCCCGAGUCCUCCACACAGCAGACGCCUGGUGGGCCCCCAUCUCCACAGGCGAAGCGGGAGGCCUUACUCACCUCAUCAUCACCCUCACCAGCAACACUACACAGGGGGUCCCUCUCGCAGUGGGCUGAAGCGUCCACAUGAUGAUCCAACCAGGUUCUCCUCGGACCCCACCCGUCAUCCGUCCUACUCAAAGGUGGGUCACAGCGCCAAGCAGCCCAUCCCCAAAAGUGUCAAGGGUGUGACGAAGCCUGGAGCCAAGACGACUAAACCGGCAAGUGCCACAUCUACCAAGCCUCCACCAGCCAAGAAGAAGAAGAAGAUAGUGACUCCAGCCUCCCAGGACUCCUCUGUGGCAGAUCGCCUGGUUUACUUGACAGGCAUCCCGAAGGAUGCGUCGGAGCAAGAAGUCACCGACUUGGUCGGGUUCUUUGGCAAGAUCAAUAAUGUGAUCCUCAUGCCAUGCUCCGAGGAAGAGAGCGAGAAGGGCGAAGGGCAAAAGGCGUCUGUAUGCAUGGUGAAGGCUGAAGACGCCCAGGCUCUGGCUAAAUCCACAAAUCUCUCCAUCAGAGACCAGCAGUUGACUGCUUCAGUAGCCAAGAAACUUGAAGCAAGACAAUCUUCUGAUGCUAACAACAGCAAACCUGCUGCAGGACAGGACAAAGGUGCUGCUGGGAAAGACUCUGGAGGUGAGGCUGACCAGAAGUUGUCUGAUGAGAAGGGCAUGGUGUUGAUCACAGGACUUCCUGAGAGCGGCUGGUCAGAGAAUGACAUCAUCAAACUGCUACAACCCUUUGGAACUCCCUCUGACAUCAUCCUGGCAACAGCAAAUCGGAAAGGUUCUUGUGUCUGUGUCAGACAUGGAGAUCGCUCAGGAGAUAGUGAAGGUCCAUGCCUUUAUGCCUAUGAAGAUUAAUGACACUGAGCUGAAGAUGACCCAUCUCAAACAGUGCAUAGGUCUCAGCACACCGGUGGGUCUCUACAAUCUUCUGAUGGGAUCAGCAGACCCAUUAGAGAGUCCUGUUCCAGUGGGCUGGAGCAGCCUGUUGGUGAUCAGUAACGUACCCAACACGCCGUCUGGGUCCACUGAGGUCCAGAAACUGGUACGGCGC